UAUUUCUCAGUUUUUUUAACCUGCAGGUGAUCAUGUACCUUUUCUCCUUAUAUUGGCGAUAGCUUAAAGUCGUGUAUUUAGAAGUUGUAGAUGAUGUAUCAUCAUAGCGCUUGAUGAAUUGUUGAAAUUGAAUUUUUCGGUUCACUUCUAGGACCUUUUUCUUUUCUAUAUGUAGUAAUCUUUGUUUCUUAUUUUUUCCCUGUUUCCUAUGAUUUUUACCCAGGUAUACAUUUUAUUGUGGAAUAGUUUCUUAAAAAUGUUUCUACACAUGGCUUCAGGUAACUUGGUUUGAUUCUGUUUAUGGGCAUUUCUUUUACUUUCAACAAUCAUAAAAUCAUAUUUAAUCAUUACUUUUUUUUAUUCAUUCAAUUAAGAAAAAAUAAUAAUAAUAUUUUUGAAGGGAAAAAAAUAAUCGUGAAAUCCUAUUUGUUGUCGGUUUCUGUUUUGUAUAUAUUUGUGAUUGAGAUUGAGAGAUAUAAACCUUCCAGCAUUGUUAUUGUUAUUACCCUUUUUAACAGAUGUAUGUGUCCUUAGUAUGAUUAAAAGGGAUUGCAAUCACAUAAUGGAGCUAAAUGGUCCGAUGGAGGCGAGCUGAUGUGUUAUGGCUGAAUUUUUUGGGCAAGGUUUUAAGAUUUUUGGAAUGUGUAGCUUGCUUGAAAAUCUACUUGAUCCACUCAUUUGAAAAUAUAUUCAAUCAUAUUUAAAGAGAAACUAUGUGUUUCUACAAA